UGACUCCUAACAGCGGGAAUGGAGGCAUCUCUGACUCUUUAGCCUGCUCUUUUGACCCUUUCCUCCCUACUGGAUUGCCUCGUCCAGGCUUGAGAAAGAGAAUGUAUAAUCUAUACUUGGUGUCAAGUGAGGAAUUGAAAAGGAACUCAUGUGACCGGAGAGGAAGCAGAGGGACCAGUGGCCCAGUUCCAGCCAAUGAGAGAAUGUGAGCCAAGCUAGCCGACCCUUAGGAUGUGGAGUGCUGGCAACUUACCUGUGAGGGACAUUUGCCUGUGACGGGUGCAGAAGAGUUCCUGAAGCCGUCUGUGGCCACGCCCAUGCUCCCCUCCUCAGGGAGACGUUGUCAACAUGCUACUACUGAGAUUAUAGACGACAAGACAAAGGGAACUUGUUGACGACAUUAGAACUGUACUCACAUGAGGACUAUACUUAGAACCUCAAGGCCGUCCUUGACCUGACACUAUGAAGCAGAAAAUGUGCUGAUUAUUAGACAUAAAUAAUCUGUACUCUUGUUUCCUAGUGAUAUUUUCUAUAGGAACAAACAAGAGAUAAGGGUUACUUUUACAAUAUAAUUUCUAUUCUUAUUGAUAGAAAACUGUUGGCAUUUGGAAAAUGUUCUUGAUGUUUGGAAAAUUUGUCUUGAGUUGAAGCCAAAUGUCCAUAAAAUUUGACCACAGAGGUUCAUGCUAAAAUCAUUAUUGCAUAGCAUGCAAGCAUGGGAAUGAUCUCAUACAUGACAUGAGUGACUGGCUCUCACAGAGAUUGGUGGAUGGAAUUUGACUGGGAAAGGAUGAUGUUAGAGCAUCCAAGGAAGUACUAGAUAUCAAUGGGAGCAGGAUCACCUAGUGGAUACCUUGGCUCAAACUGAGAGAUGAGAGGAACUCAGCAGAGAGAUCCUAGCCUCUGUGAAUUUUGCAUUAACAUUUGUAGACUUGAGCCUGUAAUAGGUGACCUCCAUGCUCUAGCAUUUAGAUGGAGGUAUUUUGGCUUUGAAAUGCUUAAGACCAUAGUUGGACCAUAGCUAGAAGAAUGUGCAAAUGUGUAGACUGAGAAAGCAGCACAGUGGAAGAUUAAUGACAUAAAUCACACAGUGGAUUUAUGAUAAACCAGCCUGCCUCCACCUUAAGCUUCAAAGCCAUCUUAUAGUAAAGACAGACUAGGCUCAUUCCUGUUUUGAUUAAAUCUCCAUUUCUCAAGAAUUGGGCUAUGCCCAACCUGUAACCUUAAUUACAAAUGGUUCUGUGAUGCCUGUUCCAAGAAAUAGUAACCAUGCCUUCAUUUCAAAACGUUAUCAUGACCACCCUGUUAUGACUAACUUGUUGUGAUCACCUUGUUAUGACUACCUUCCAACUGUGUCUUUGUCUCAAGAGCUUGUUACGACCAACUUGUUAUGCUUAUGUUCUGCUUCUGUAACCUUGUCUACCUGUGUGUCAAAUCCUCCAUCUGGAAACUCCUACUCCUGGACGCUAAAAGCCCUUAUCGCAUCCAUGUCCAGGGCUGAUCUCUUGAAUCCUGCCUUUAGGGAUGUAUAGCUUGUGUACAUGAAUUUUUUUAAUUAAUUAAUUUUUUUACACUCUGUAUUUUAUCCCCCCAUCCAUGCUCUACCUGUUCCACAUCCCAUACCUCCUACCUACACCCCUGUCUCCAUGUGGAUAUCCUCACCCCCCCCCCCAUCUCACAUGACCUCUAAACU